AUAGCUUUAUCUGCUGCUUAUUCACAGGUGGAGCAGUGGGUGUGUCAGUAAAAAGAAAGCUGCAUUGUGGGAAGGAAGGUGGACAGUUCUGGACUGCAAGGUAAAAGGCUGCAGUCCCAGAAGGGAAGGAUGCAUUGAGGAAGUGAACUGGCAACUCUGACACUGGUGCCACUGAGAAAGCUUUGGAUUCCUUGACCAUGGCAUGCACUUCAGGGAGAGAGGACUCCUGGGAAGGGAUCCACUUCACGAGGAAAGCCAAAGUGUAACCAACAGGUGAAACUACAUAUUUUCUCUGGCAGUCCUCCAGGUGCUGUUUGGCAGAGCAGCUAUGAAUAAACACUGCUGCAGACUCCUUAUUUGUAUGCGGGAGACCUGGUCAUGGAGCCUGAGUUGUUGGAUCCACGAUGGUUUCCUGGACACUUGCAGAUUGCUGGAGACAUAUGCACUGACAGCAUGGGCAACAUGAGGACCAAAUGGGACCCUCAGCGUGAGGCAUUAGAGUGGUCAGGUUAGUGACUGCUUGCACCCACAGUGCUGCUGCACUUGAAUAAGCCACCUAGGCUCAAGAAUGCCCUGGGAAGGUCCAAGGAUGAGGUCUGUGGAUGGCCAGCUACUCUUUGAGGGAGGCCGCACACACCACUAUAGAGCUGAGAGAGUUACAGCACCAGAUAAGGAGUUUAUGCACAGGAUCAAAGACAGCUUGGGAUCCAGCUGAGCGGUGUCAGCACUGCCUCCCAUGUGAAGACCAUUGCCCUCCCAGGCAGGCUGCUGCCCAACUCCACCCACCUCACAACCCCAGCAUGGAGAGCCCCACUCCAGGGAUUUCUCCCUUGGCUCAAAACACUGACCCCACCCUCCAGCAGGGGCUAAAAAAAACCCAGA